GCAGGACGGCCACUCCUGGGAAGGUUCCGCAUUGUUCCAAGUGGUUCACUGGUGCCCCAGAGCCUUAAAAUGGCUUUGUAACCUUGGUUACUGUCAUCAACCCAGGUACAGAUGGAUAGCUUUUUUUCUUUUUGUUCAUGAAAUCAUCAUAUAAAAGCUGUAUUUUGUGUUUACUCAGCUUAUCUUUGUCUAUUAGUGGAGGGAAAGGGCAAAUCCUUUUUCUCAGCGAUGUGUGCGUACGUAUUUAUAAUUAUAUAUUGUGUCUUAGAUUUAUGAUUAGAAUGAUCCCUGAAAAAAUAAUGCAAGCAGCAUCAUCAUCGUUUGUAUUUAACAAAAGAGCUGCCUUCCUCCUCUCAGGAUUCUUGUAGCUAAUUGGCUACUUGCAGCAGUCAGUUGCAGGACAGCACUCCCAUUGAAAUCAACUGAAAAUGCAUAUGAUGGCUGGAGUGUCCCUUUAACGCAGCACUUCAAUAUACAUACAGUAUACCCACUUAAAGAAGCUGGCUGGUCACCUCAGUAUAUUGCAAAUCAUGAACUUAUCAUUUAUUAAUGUCUGGCACUGGCAAUUGUGUUAUUAAACUGUUUCUGAAAAGAAUUUUAAUGUGGUUACUUUUUCUUUCAAAAACUAUAAAGCGUGUACAGAUUUGGCAGAACGCACAGGUUAUGUUAGGUCGAGGAAACCUCUUAUUAAAGAACUGUCUUAUCUGACAUAAACCCGUCAUUUUAUACACUACCUACCAAGUUUUCAUUAUCUGUCAUUUAUGGUCCAUACCAUAUAUGAUCUGAUAAAUGCACUUCGAUACUGUAGGUGGCUGACAGUACUACGGUGAUGUGAGCGCAACGUAUAAAAAAAGGAAAUCAAUUAUUUCA